rnacentral:rRNA from 1 species
UACGUAGGGUGCAAGCGUUGUCCGGAAUUAUUGGGCGUAAAGAGCUCGUAGGCGGUCUGUCGCGUCUGCUGUGAAAACUCAGGGCUUAACCCUGAGCUUGCAGUGGGUACGGGCAGACUAGAGUGCGGUAGGGGAGACUGGAAUUCCUGGUGUAGCGGUGAAAUGCGUAGAGAUUUGGAGGAACACCAGUGGCGAAGGCGGUUCUCUGGGCCUUACCUGACGCUGAGGAGCGAAAGCAUGGGGAGCAAACAGG